AUGGGACUGGAACAGCACAGGAAAUCACGCCCCAGGGCACUGCGCUGGCCUGCUGCUUUCACCACGAGCGUUCGCAGAAGCUGGGAGCCGGGCUUUGUGUCCUGCUGCCCCAGGGAGACUGAGCUCUGCAAGUGUCCAGCCUGGACAGCUGUAGGGAACCAGACCGCUCAGCUGUCCGUUGUUCUGUUUAUUCUGGCUGUGCUGGAUUCCAUGGAGCACUGUGCUCCCCUGGGACAGGAAGUCCUGGUGCACUGUGCUCCUCUGGGACAGGAAGUCCUGGUGCACUGUGCUCCUCUGGGACAGGAAGUCCUGGUGCACUGUGCUCCCCUGGGACAGGAAGUUCUUGGUGUACUGUGCUCACCUGGAGACAAGGAAGUCCCUGGUACACUGUGCUCCCCUGGGACAGGAAGUCAUGGUGCACUGUGCUUACCUGGGACAGGAAGUCCUGGUGCACUGUGCUCCCCGGGACAGGAAGUCUUGGUGCAUGUACCUCACCUGGGACAGGAACACACCCCAACACGUCCUACUCUGCACAAGCCCAUGUGACCACCUGUGGGGGAAGCCACACAGGAGGUGUCCCUUCUUGUUGAGAUGGGGGUGGUGACAGCAGUGGGCACUGAGACCAGCAUUCCCGGGGAGCUGGCUGUGAGCCAGGCCUUUUCCAUCUCGCGUUACAUCCGCCACACACUGCAGCUCUGUCGCUCCCCAUCUUCGUGGAGGAACGACACAGGACCCUGCGCUGUUCUUUUGUCUGCUCGGCCCUCCCCGGGUUUGCUGCUGGUUCUUCCCGGGUUGGCUGCCGUCUCUUCCACCUCCGUGGAAGGGCGGUUCCCCCUGGCCACUUUCCCCACUUCCACGGGGGAGCGGCACACCACCGGCCGGCUCUCUCGGGGGCUGCACAGGUGUUCCCCUUAGAUGUUCCUGGUGCAUGUUGUCUCUCUCCUCCUUUAUAGUCCUCUUCCACCAAUCCCAACUCUGCUACCCACACGCCAAGUACGCUGCUCUCCUCCAAUCAGGAGCAGGUCCUACAGUUUAUUGGUGGAACUGGAGGCAGCUGUGUAGAAGCUGUUUCUCCCUUCUCAGCGCCAUAUUGUGGGAGAGCAGAUGCAUAGAAUAAGUCUUAAUUCCAGUAACUUAGUCUAGUCCGAGUUGCUCCCCACAGAUCCCCCUUUCUUUUUAUUUUUUGGCGUUGAUACGCGCCUGUCUUCGGUGCCCCGCGGCACACACUCUGCUCUGCUUGCUAGAGUUGCCCACAGGUGCUUACAAGCCCUACCAAUCAGGCAAACCGAAUCUGGGUCCUCUCUUCGCCAUGUUGUAAGGAGGUUUUUAGGCGCUGAUGCGUGCCUGUGUUCGGUGCCCUGCAGCGCAUGCUCUGCUCUGCUAGAACUGCCUGCAGGUGCUUACAAGCCCUAACAAUCAGGCAAACCGAAUCCAAGCCUUCUCAUCGCCGUAUUGUGGGGAGACUUAUUAAUGUUAAUUCGUGCCUGUCUUCGGUGACCUGCGGCGCAUAAGCUGCUAGCCGCCUGCAGGUGCUUAUCGUCCUAAU
rnacentral:lncRNA from 1 species